rnacentral:tRNA from 1 species
GGGACUAUGGCUCAGUGGUAGAGCGCUUGCCUAGCAGGCAUGAAGCCCUGGGUUCAAUUCCUCAGCACCA